rnacentral:rRNA from 1 species
CCUACGGGGGGCUGCAGUGAGGAAUAUUGGACAAUGGGCGCGACCCUGAACCAGCCACGUCGCGUGAGGGAAGACGGUCCUAUGGAUUGUAAACCUCUUUUGUCGGGGAGCAAAAGACGCCACGCGUGGCGUUCCGAGAGUACCCGAAGAAAAAGCAUCGGCUAACUCCGUGCCGGCAGCCGCGGUAAUAAGGAGGAUGUGAGCGUGAGCCGGAUUUAUGGGGUUGCAAGGGUGCGCAGGCGGAAGAUCAAGUCAGCGGUAAAAUUGAGAGGCUCAACCUCUUCGAGGAGUUGAAACUGGUUGACUAGAGUGAGUGAGAAGUAGGCGGAAUGCGUGGUGUAGCGGUGAAAUGCAUAGAUAUCACGCAGAACUCCGAUUGCGAAGGCAGCAUACCGGCGCUCAACUGACGCUCAUGCACGAAAGUGUGGGUAUCGAACAGGAUUAGAUACCCGUGUAGUC